rnacentral:SRP_RNA from 1 species
GCCGGGUGCGGUGGCGGGCACCUGUAGUCCCAGCUACUCAGGAGGCUGAGGCAGGAGAAUGGCGUGAACCCAGGAGGCGGAGCUUGCAGUGAGCUGAGAUUGCCACUGCACUCCAGCCUGGGUGACAGAGCAAGAUUCUGUCUCAA